rnacentral:rRNA from 1 species
AGUGAACGCUGGCGGUAGGCCUAACACACGCAAGUCGAACGGCAGCACAGGAGAGCUUGCUCUCUGGGUGGCGAGUGGCGGACGGGUGAGGAAUACAUCGGAAUCUACCUUUUCGUGGGGGAUAACGUAGGGAAACUUACGCUAAUACCGUAUAAGACCUUCGGGUGAAAGCCGGGGACCUUCGGGCCUGGCGCGGAUAG